UACAGAGGGUGCAAGCGUUGUUCGGAAUUAUUGGGCGUAAAGGGCGCGUAGGCGGUGCGGUAAGUCUGCGGUGAAAUCUCCCGGCUCAACUGGGAGUCUGCCGUGGAAACUGCCGUGCUUGAGUGUGGAAGAGGUGAGUGGAAUUCCCGGUGUAGCGGUGAAAUGCGUAGAUAUCAGGAGGAACGCCAAUGGCGAAGGCAAGUCUCUGGACAGUUCCUGACGCUCAUGCACGAAGGCCAGGGGAGCAAACGGG
rnacentral:rRNA from 1 species